CCUACGGGUGGCUGCAGUGGGGAAUAUUGGACAAUGGGGGGAACCCUGAUCCAGCCAUGCCGCGUGUGUGAAGAAGGCCCUCGGGUUGUAAAGCACUUUCAGUGAGGAAGAACGCCUGGUGGUUAAUACCCAUCAGGAAAGACAUCACUCACAGAAGAAGCACCGGCUAACUCCGUGCCAGCAGCCGCGGUAAUACGGAGGGUGCGAGCGUUAAUCGGAAUUACUGGGCGUAAAGCGCGCGUAGGUGGCUUGAUAAGCCGGUUGUGAAAGCCCCGGGCUCAACCUGGGAACGGCAUCCGGAACUGUCAAGCUAGAGUGCAGGAGAGGAAGGUAGAAUUCCCGGUGUAGCGGUGAAAUGUGUAGAGAUCGGGAGGAAUACCAGUGGCGAAGGCGGCCUUCUGGACUGACACUGACACUGAGGUGCGAAAGCGUGGGUAGCAAACAGGAUUAGAUACCCGGGUAGUC
rnacentral:rRNA from 1 species